ensembl:lncRNA
GCCAAUAAAUGGUAGUUCCUACAAAAAGGAAAGAAACAGAGGAGGAGACAAAAGAGUAACACGGAAGUGGCUUAAGGGGCACACGACUCCAGAGCAUUCAGGGGACAAGCUGAUCUUCCUGGAGACUCGGGAACCAAGGAUGUAGAGGAUGAGCAAAGAAGGCCUAGGAGCCGCUGCUUCUGUAAACGUGAGCCUUGAAGGAGGAGUGUUACGUGGUUUUCAGUGACGAUGGAGCCGCCCAAUGUGUGUCCAAGUGUGAGAACUCAGGCAGAGCUGCCUGGAAAGAGUUGUCUUGGUCACGGGGAUGCUUCGCAGCCAUAGAACAAUGAUGAAGACACUCUCAGAUCACACAUGAACUUUUGUAACUAAGUAAACUAUGUACGGAACCCAGAGUCUUCUGGAACAUGAAGGCCUGAAUAUCAGGCAGGCAUCAUUGGCUGUUAUGUCCUCAUCUCUCGAUUGAAACAUCGAUAGCCAAGAGCAACUAUGUGUCUCAAGAUCUAACAGAGAAGUAGAAAAACACCACCUGGAGGAGACAGUCCUUACUUUCUAACACAGUCGUGUGGAAGGUAGCCUAACUAUGCUCUCAAAGGCACAGCCCUGCCUAGGGAUUUCUUCCAUGCCUCACCGCAAUGUGCUCAUCUUUAUCUGGAUAAAACAGACAGAAUGGAGCCCCACUUUCACUCCCAGAUUAGAACUGAUUCGUAAGUAUAUGACUUUAGGGCAGUGCGACGCAUGGGGUCCCACUACUCCCUAUGAUCUGUACACAGUUAAUGAUUGGCGGGGGCAGGGGAGACAUUUUGUUAUAUAGCCGCUGAUGAGGUGCCCGUGCAAAUAAGACGCCCUCUUAAACUCUUCUCAUUUUUGCCCAUGCUAAUAUAAAAUGGGGCUUUGUGUGGGGCUAGGCUUUCUUCUCAUCCUUCAAGCCUGUCAACAGUAGGGGAUAGCAAAAGCCGGAAGAGAGUUUGGCCUCAGGAACCCAGGAGGAGUGGACUCUAUGGCUUCGUUUUGGAUAUCAGGUGAUUCAAAGACACAAAGCAAAUCUCUAACCUUUUCUACCCCCAGCUCAUUCCUCUGCAGCUCACCUUCCAAAUGACUUCUGCUAGCUAAGCCUCGCGUCCCUUUGAAUCACAUGACGUCAGGUGAAAUCAGUUGUCCUGUGCCGAGAAGGAGAAGGAACUCAGUUUGGGGACAACUGGCUCAAAAUACAGAGAACCCUUUUUUGUUAAGUUCCCAAAAGGAACUUCCCUUGUUACUUAGAGAACACAGAAAUCUUCUCUCUAACCUCGCUGUCCUAAUACGUCUGUCUGAAACCUGAAGAAGCUCUGCCUUGCAUUGGUACUUUGCGUUUUUCUGUCUUGUUUUGUUUUUUCUGGUAAACCACUGCAAUUGCUUGGCUGUGCACGCCUUCGUGGGGCUUGGCUACUACUAUACCAUUCUGCACUUGCAAAUAUGUCCUUUUCUAGAUGUGGUGAGGAAAAAAAAAAAAAGCCUCUACAUGCUGAACUAAUGCCAUCUGCCUCCAAAAAUGCCCUAAUUGUAUCAGCCAAACGAGCAUUUCUUAUUUUUAACGCUGCCAUCACUGGAUUGUUAGAGCAGCAUUGUUAAAAGGAUAAUGACAGUGUGAGCCUCAAAUAGGUUUUCUUAAAAUGAUUGCUUUGCCCUGUGGGCACUGGCAAGGCAGUCGGGAAAUUCUAUCAGGGUCAGCAGGUCCUUGGAUGCUGCUCACCACAAGACUGGCUGUCUGAUCUUCAGGUUUUGGGGUUUUUUUUUUGUUAUCUGCACACACACAAUAUCUAGUUUUAGGUAUCGGAGCUCGCUUCUGUGCCUGUCUCAGGAUCCUUUUUACGUUAAUGGCCAGUGUUUAGCUUUCCUGUUAGGUCAACAGCUGUGGCUUCAUUUUUUAUUUUUCUCGUAUUGGUGGAAAUUUUCUUAUUCUGGGAUUCAAACACUCAUUGAUUUUGAGGAAGUUACCAUCCCAGAAAUUGACAGCCUGACUGUGAAACCACAGAUCUGCAUACUGCAUCUACUGCAUGCCUCUUUCCUUAGGGGAAGCUAUGAGGCUUGGCCAAGGCCUACAAGCUGGUAGAGUGGAAGCCAACUGCCCUGGAUGCACAGCAUGGCGGCCGCUCCACUGCUCUGUGUCUGGGAGUGGAGAGAUCACCCUGGGUUCUUCACUGGCCUCAGGUUGUAGAUAGGAAUCAAUGUGGAACUGAAACCUGACUCUGAAAAAGGGAGGCGUUUGAAUUCAAGAGAACCUAUCCAGAAGUCAAGGUACUGAUUUGAUCCAGAACUACGGAGAAGAAGGCUCAAAGAGAUCUCUGAGGAGUAGAAACUGCCCAGUGAGAGACUUUAAACUUCAAACAAAACACACGAAGCUGGAGAGGUGGCUCGGUGGUUAAGAGCACCAGCUGCUCUUCCAGGGAACCUAGGUUCAAUUCCCAGCACCCCAUGCAGCUCACAACUACCUGUAACUGUCUAGUUCUGGGGUAUUUUACACCACCUCACACAAAAUAAGAAUAAAUGCAUUAUAAAGAAA